GAUCCGCAGCCGGUGCGGAUCAAAGAACACCGGCAGCUGUUCCGAUUUGUCAGCAGCUGCAGCCGAGUUCAGCGGCCUGGUGUUCACCGCCGCCAUCACAGAUGGCAGGGCGCACGCCCCAUGCGGUAUCGUACUGACC
rnacentral:ncRNA from 1 species